rnacentral:tRNA from 1 species
GGAUUGUGGCUCAGUGGUAGAGCGCUCGCCUAGCAAGUGUGAGGCCUUGGGUUCGAUCCUCAGCACCA